CUUCGGGCCUUGUACACACUGCCCGUCACGCCAUGGAAGCUGUUUGUACCCAAAAUUGUUUUAGCUAACCCGUAAGGGGGCGGAUAACUAAGGUGUGGGGAGUGACUGGGGCG
rnacentral:rRNA from 1 species